rnacentral:lncRNA from 1 species
AGUCGCGUAGACGCUCCCCAAAAACCUAAUUGCCGAUCCCCCGUGCAAGGUCUCGAACGGCAAGGGCUCCGGAGGCACCUGCCCUCUCGCUCCUCCGUGCGCGCGAAGUUACGAGAUGGGGAUUCCUACUUUGCAACGGAACUGUGAUCUGUGUGUUCUCUCUUGUUGUACCAAGGAGAUGAGUCUCCUAUUUAUCCUUGUGGCGGGAGAGGAGAGGAGGG